rnacentral:rRNA from 1 species
AACGGAGGGUGCAAGCGUUGUUCGGAAUUACUGGGCGUAAAGCGCGUGCAGGCGGUCUUUUAAGUUUCGUGUGAAAUCCCAUGGCUUAACCAUGGAACGGCACGGAAAACUGGAAGGCUUGAGUACGGGAGAAGAGGGCGGAAUUCCCAGUGUAGAGGUGAAAUUCGUAGAUAUUGGGAGGAACACCGGAGGCGAAAGCGGCUCUCUAGACCGAUACUGACGCUCAUACGCGAGAGCGUGGGUAGCAAACAGG